rnacentral:rRNA from 1 species
CGCAUCUGUGCAUGCAGCAUAUCAAUAAGCGGAGGAAAAGAAACUAACAAGGAUUCCCCUAGUAACGGCGAGUGAAGCGGGAAGAGCUCAAAUUUGAAAUCUUAAAGGGUUUCCCUUUACGAAUUGUAGUUUAAAGAAGUGUUUUCUGUUGAGGUUUUGGUAAAAGUUCUUUGGAAUAGGACAUCAUAGAGGGUGAGAAUCCCGUAUUUGACCUUUACUUUCAACUUUGUGAUACACUUUCAAAGAGUCGGAUUGUUUGGGAAUGCAGUCCAAAAUGGGUGGUAAAUUUCAUCUAAAGCUAAAUAUUGGCGAGAGACCGAUAGCGAACAAGUACCGUGAGGGAAAGAUGAAAAGAACUUUGAAAAGAGAGUUAAACAGUACGUGAAAUUGUCAAAAGGGAAGCGUUUGACACCAGUGUUGUUUUUCUGAAAAUCAAUUAAAGAACUGUUUAUGCUAAGCUGUUUAGACUUUAUCAGCUAUACUGUUUAGUUUUGAGCUUUUCUUUAAUGCACUUUUCAGUUAACAAGUCAACAUCAAUUUCUUUUGCUGUAAAAAAGCUUGAGGAAGGUGGCUUGAGAUUCGUCUUAAGUGUUUAUAGCCUCUUGCCUAUGCAGUCGGAGAGAUUGAGGUCUGCAGCGUAGAUCCUUCGGGGCUAAAUGCAUUUGUGCUAGUUAUAGCAUUUUAUAGACAACUUGUUGACUAUGAUUUGUCUUGUAGCUUACUCGCUUAUGUUAUUUUACCUACGCUUAGGAUGUUGAACGCGCACAGAGUCUC